AUGGUAAUUUCAGGAUCCGGUUUCCCUUGGGAUCAGCUCGGGAAGGAAAGGGGGAAAGUCCGGUGUGAAUCCGGCGCUGUCCCGCAGCUGUGAACCCCAAGGGGUGAGUCAGAACGCCCGCCGGAACCUCCCCACUUCC
rnacentral:ncRNA from 2 species